rnacentral:lncRNA from 1 species
UUCCUUUCACCAUCUAACCCAGAUUCCCUUAGUGGUGUCAGGUGAAAGCCCAGGAGGCCCCCUUCCUUCCCCAGGUUUUCCGGAGCCAGACGCUGUAAGGGACCUGUACCCAAGACAGUUUCCGGCUGGGAAUCAAAACCACAGGCUCUUUAGUUCCUGCAGAAGACCGAGCUCCACGGCAUCCGUUGAUAUGGGCGUCACCGGUGACGCUCAAAUGUCGCAGCACUUUCCACUUGGACAUCAGAAUAGUGCUCCACAUUUGAGGCCCACAGGGUUGAGUUUUCUCAAGCGGUAACACUCAAAAGAUGGCGGCACUUUCACCAGAGAGCAGAAAGUGCCCCCACAGUUUGAGUGCCACAGGCUGAGGGGAUGCGGCAAGGCGGCGAUCGCAAGUGGAAGCACUUACCCAUCAGAAGAGGCUUUUAAGCAAGGAGGU